rnacentral:rRNA from 1 species
UACGUAGGGUGCAAGCGUUUGUCCGGAAUUAUUGGGCGUAAAGAGCUCGUAGGCGGUUUGUCACGUCGGAUGUGAAACCCUGAGGCUCAACCUCAGGCCUGCAUUCGAUACGGGCAGACUAGAAUUCGGCAGGGGGAGACUGGAAUUCCUGGUGUAGCGGUGAAAAUGCGCAGAUAUCAGGAGGAACACCGGUGGCGAAGGCGGGGUCUCUGGGGCCGAUAUUGACGCUGAGGAGCGAAAGCGUGGGGGAGCAAACAGG